UACAGAGGGUGCAAACGUUGCUCGGAAUCACUGGGCGUAAAGCGCGUGUAGGCGGACCGGAAAGUCGGGUGUGAAAUCCCUGGGCUCAACCCAGGAACUGCAUCCGAAACUACCAGCCUAGAGUGUCGGAGAGGGAAGUGGAAUUCUUGGUGUAGAGGUGAAAUUCGUAGAUAUCAAGAGGAACACCGGUGGCGAAGGCGGCUUCCUGGACGAUAACUGACGCUGAGAAGCGAAAGCGUGGGGAGCAAACAGG
rnacentral:rRNA from 1 species